rnacentral:rRNA from 1 species
CCUACGGGUGGCAGCAGUGAGGAAUAUUGGUCAAUGGACGCAAGUCUGAACCAGCCAUGCCGCGUGCAAGAAGACGGCUCUAUGAGUUGUAAACUGCUUUUGUUCGAGGGUAAACGCAGAUACGCGUAUCUCUCUUAGAGUGUCGUACGAAUAAGGAGCGGCUCACUCCGUGCCAGCAGCCGCGGGAAUACGGAGGAUUCCAGCGUUAUCCGGAUUUAUUGGGUUUAAAGGGUGCGUAGGCGGUCGGAUAAGUUAGAGGUGAAAUACCGAGGCUCAACUUCGGAAUUGCAGCUGAUACUGUUCGGCUAGAGAGUAGUUGCGGUAGGCGGAAUGUAUGGUGUAGCGGUGAAAUGCUUAGAGAUCAUACAGAACACCGAUUGCGAAGGCAGGUGACCAGGCUACUUCUGACGUUGAGGCACGAAAGCGUGGGGAGCAAACAGGAUUAGAUACCCCAGUAGUC